rnacentral:rRNA from 1 species
UACGUAGGGUGCAAGCGUUGUCCGGAAUUAUUGGGCGUAAAGAGCUCGUAGGCGGUUUGUCGCGUCUGCUGUGAAAACCCGAGGCUCAACCUCGGGCCUGCAGUGGGUACGGGCAGACUAGAGUGCGGUAGGGGAGAUUGGAAUUCCUGGUGUAGCGGUGGAAUGCGCAGAUAUCAGGAGGAACACCGGUGGCGAAGGCGGGUCUCUGGGCAGUAACUGACGCUGAGGAACGAAAGCGUGGGUAGCGAACAGG